ACGCAUGGAGCUGUCACGGUAAAAGUCACGUUCCAAGUUGCUUUAUUGUUCAAUUAAUUUCUAGUUUCGCUGCCACCACGCAUUGGCUGCUUAUUUAAGAUGGCCAAAAACGAGGGGCUCGCAAAAAUUACAGCCACAAUCCUAUUAGCCGCCUCCAUGCCUCUUUGCUUGCCUCCCCACGCAUAAAUUGCAUUUCUCUCUCCAUUGUUUGCUGUUUGCUAUCUCUUUCCCUGCUAGUUGCACUUUGAUGCGCACACAGUCGCAGGAUUCUAAUGAGAUCGGGUGUGUGUGUGUGUGUGGGAGGUGUGGGAGUGGCACACAAAUCAAAAGCAUUUUUGUCAGCAUUUCGGUGGCUUCCGCCAGCGGCAGUGGUUGGGGGAGGUAUGGGGCGUGGCUCCUGCUCGAAACGGGGACACAUCCUGCGUGAGGCAUUUGAAAAUAAUACGCAUCGGAGGCUCUGCACUUGAUAGUUUGCCUAGGCUUCUUGCUCUCACACUCUCUCUCUAUAAAAAGGCAGAACGGAAUCACCAUAGCCAGGAACUGUUUGUUAAUGCCCUUGGAGAGGGUGUUAAAUUUAUAGGAAAAUGUUUGUAAGUCCAUAAAAGUGCUACAGAUAUGAUUAUGGUUUUGACAUCCUUUGAAAUGUGUCUAAAGAUUUAUACCAUAAAUACUUAAUAAAAUAUUUUACAAUAUUA